GUGUCAACCAAAUCAGCAAGCCUGUCUACCCGAUUACAUCAGUCGACUCGUACGACAAGCAUGGGUUGCUGAUCUUCAUCUUAUUUCAGGUAAGAUUGCUUUAGUUGGAAUCCCAAAACCUUGCCUCUACAGAUUUUGAAACUUCACUUUCCGAUUUUGGGGCUGAUUUCAGGUUCAGGGUUCCACUAUAUGAUCUUAUAGUUGUAAACAAUCUUGCAGUUAUUUAGCGUUAUUGGGUCUGAGUGAUUGCAUAGAACAACACAUGAAUAGUGACAUGGGUUGUUUUCAGCACAUCGACAUGACAUGACAUGACAUCAGCAACACAUAUAUGAGCUCAAAGCUCUGUUCCACAAGGGUGGUGGGUUAAAGCUUUGUUCGUAACGUGGUAGACUCAGGUUCAAUUCCCCACAUGGAUACAAUGUGUGAAGCCCACUUCUGGUGUCUCCUUCAGUGAUAAUGCUGGCUUAUUGCUAAAAGUGGUGUAAAACUGAAAUCACUCACUCACUGUUCCCAAAUCAUGUCUUGGCAGGAGUUACAGUCAUCCUAGCAUGGAAAUCUCUUUGUUGAUUGGUCCCUGAUGUCAAACUAUGGCCAAGUUGACUGAAGUAUUACUCAGUGUUGACUUUCACAAAUGGCAAACCCGAUACAGUCAGUAUUUUUAUUUACCAGUUUGUGUUUCAUUUGCCUUCUCUUUUAUACAGAUUCUUUUAUAUACAUGUCCAUCCAUCUACCAUUCAGUAUUCUUUGUGCUUUACAUGAUCAUGUGACCAAUUGAACCAUCUUUAUUCAGUCUUGCUUUGACUCUCCGGGUCAUUUUCUUAGAUUACUCAGCCUGUGGCCCGUGAUGACCAGGGGCACCUUUCACGAAACACUAAGGUGAUCGUAAGUCACUAAGGUAACCUCAGUGCAAUGUUAAAGAAUGGGAGUUAAGGUUAACCUUAGUAAAGGUUGCUUCGUGAAAGGAGCCCCUGAUCAUGACCAUAAGCAUAAGUUAGUUUUUGUCGUAUGUUUUACAGAUUUAUCAUUGUGUUUUGAUGACUUGAUGAUUGCUGGCGAGAUCAAUAAAGUACAUUUCCGGUUGA